rnacentral:rRNA from 1 species
AGAGCGAACGCUGGCGGCAUGCUUAACACAUGCAAGUCGCACGGGCAGGGGAAACUCUGUCAGUGGCGGACGGGUGAGUAACGCGUAGGUAUCUGUCCAUGGGUGGGGGAUAACGGCGGGAAACUGCUGCUAAUACCGCAUGACACCUGAGGGUCAAAGGCGCAAGUCGCCUGUGGAGGAGCCUGCGUCCGAUUAGCUAGUUGGUGGGGUAACGGCCUACCAAGGCGACGAUCGGUAGCUGGUCUGAGAGGAUGAUCAGCCACACUGGGACUGAGACACGGCCCAGACUCCUACGGAGGCAGCAGUGGGGAAUAUUGGACAAUGGGCGCAAGCCUGAUCCAGCAAUGCCGCGUGGGUGAAGAAGGUCUUCGGAUUGUAAAGCCCUUUCGGCGGGGACGAUGAUGACGGUACCCGCAGAAGAAGCCCCGGCUAACUUCGUGCCAGCAGCCGC